rnacentral:tRNA from 1 species
GCAAUGGUGGUUCAGUGGUAGAAUUCUUUCCUUACAUGCAGGAGACCAGGGUUUGAUUCCCAGCCAAUGCA